CAGCACCUCAAGUGUUCAGGAUGAUUAUUGGGCCUAAAGCAUCCGUAGCCGGCUCUGUAAGUUUUCGGUUAAAUCUGUACGCUCAACGUACAGGCUGCCGGGAAUACUGCAGCGCUAGGGAGUGGGAGAGGUAGACGGUACUCGGUAGGAAGGGGUAAAAUCCUUUGAUCUAUUGAUGACCACCUGUGGCGAAGGCGGUCUACCAGAACACGUCCGACGGUGAGGGAUGAAAGCUGGGGGAGCAAACCGGAUUAGAUACCCGAGUAGUCC
rnacentral:rRNA from 1 species